rnacentral:lncRNA from 1 species
GUUUACUGAAUAGAAAUUUAGUCAAGAGCAUAAUACACUCAACUUUAAAUAGGCUUAACAGUGCUUUCGCCUCCUCUUGGGAAGUGCCCUGACCCUCAAACAUGACUCCUCACAUGACCGAGAGGAAGAUAAUAAUAAAGAAUUACACUUAGGGAGGGGGUCAAUACCUCUCCCUUGAACCUCUGACCAGAUGACAUAGUUUCCCACCUUCUGCAGACUCAGAGAACAAGUCCCCAAUAACAACCCCAUACAAUCCACAACAUAAAAGUCAGUACUUGAAGAUUCAGACAAGGGCCCUUUAGUUCAGCACAGUCAUCUCAAGGAGGAAGGAGCCAUGACAAUUCACAUAAGACUUCAGAAGAUCUCAGCUCUUUGCUAAGGCAACAUAUUCUAAAGCUCAGCUAGCAAGGCCCCUGGGAGCUGACCAGGGUCCUGCCCUGCCUAGAGACACCUGCCUGGACUUGUAUGGAUCUGUUUCUUGCUUCUCCUUCCUGUGAGUCCCCAAGCCCCAUAACAGGAUAGGAAGCAAAGAGAAUUCCCAAAAGCCUCACAAAAAUACGAUCCUCUGAUUUUGUUCAAGAACUCAAGGUAAGUGAACUGUAAUAAAAUCCUGUAUUAUGUUUGUAAUACAGAUAUUCUCUGUGAGAAAGAACAAAUGGAAUGAGAGCUUGAGACCAAAAAAGAUGAAAGGAAGUAGGGAGGAAAGUCUGAAUACAAAGUUUGAAGCCAAGACCAUUAUCCAUUGCUCUGCCUGAAUUUCUACCAGAUGUGAAUCUAACUCAUUUUCAUCAUUUAGCACCUGUAUUUUAAGGGAGUGAUGGCCUUGCCCACAGAUGUCUUCAAAAAGUAAGACUGAAAACUUGCCCCCAAUUGGAAAUGAGUUCCCAUGACAGCAGG